CCUACGGGAGGCAGCAGUGGGGAAUAUUGCACAAUGGGGGAAACCCUGAUGCAGCGACGCCGCGUGAGUGAAGAAGUAUUUCGGUAUGUAAAGCUCUAUCAGCAGGAACGAGACAAGCCGUUACCUGACUAAGACGCCCCGGCUAACUACGUGCCAGCAGCCUCGGUACUACGUAGGGGGCAAGCGUUAUCCGGAAUCACUGGGUGUAAAGGGAGCGUAGACGGCUGAGCAAGCCUGAAGUGAAAGGCGGGGGCCCAACCCCCGGCCUGCUUUGGGAACUGUACGGCUGGAGUGCAGGAGAGGUAAGUGGAAUUCCUAGUGUAGCGGUGAAAUGCGUAGAGAUUAGGAGGAACACCAGUGGCGAAGGCGGCUUACUGGACUGUAACUGACGUUGUGGCUCGAAAGCGUGGGGAGCAAACAGGAUUAGAUACCCCAGUAGUC
rnacentral:rRNA from 1 species